rnacentral:lncRNA from 12 species
AUGGCAUCUGAGGCUUCGAGGUCUAUGAGGAAUGAAGCCCAACCUGAAAAAUGCCCUGGUGAACAAACAUGCUGUGAGAGCCGUGGCAGUGGGGACUGAAAUGACAGCAAAGCUCUGCUUGGGGAAAAAAGAAGGGAGUAUCCAGUUCAGGGAAAACAAGGUAAUACACUCACAUUUGGGAGAUGAAUCAUGAAAACAAGAAAGAAUUAACCCUUGAGGGUUGUUUUAACUACAAAAUAAAGUUUUCUGCGGCAGAAAAGCAGACAAGUCAGAUGUUGGAUUGAAGGAUGGCCAUCCCCAGGGUUUGGGUGGCAGCUUUGUCCUGCCUGUGAGCUGCUUUCUGCACUCUUGGAUCCUAAGGCUGUUUUCCAAACAUCUCUUGUCAGCACAGGAUUGGAACCUGAGAGGUAGAAGGAGAAAAGAGUUAAUGGCAGGGCGGAUCUGACCAGUUCAUGUCUUUGUUUGGAAGAAUGUGUUGCUCUUCUGGUGUUAGCACCUCAUAGUUAGUUUUUAAUUCCUGUUCCUUUAUAACCUUAAAAAUAAAGGAUCUCUUUCACGAAGACUGCUGCAGCCAACUCAGACCAAGGAUAUCCAACAUCCACCCAACUCCAACAGA